GUGUGUUUGCCUCACUCCUAGGUUAUGAGAUUUUGUCAGUGGUGUCUUGUCUCUGGAUACUUGCUAGUUGGGGGUCUUCUUAUGAAGGCUCUGAAGUCAUGAAUGAGCUGUGUCACCAAAUUGGUGACGUUGCUUCUUUUUUCUUCAGUUUUUUUUUUUUCCUAAUCCACUGAGGUUCUUUAAGACAAAGCUUUGACUCAUUGUCAGGACAUUCAUGGAACCCCAUUUCUUUAAGCUGCUCCAGGCAACAAAACGAUGGUAUUUCUCCCUGUUGCUGUCUUACUCUUGUACUCAUCUCAAUUACUGCAUCUUCUUCUCUGGAUUCUGGACUUCUCAUAAAGUAAGCAUGGGAGUAGCAGAGAGCCUCUUAGGAAGUGUUCCCAAAGGACAACUGUGCUGCUGUUCUACCUUAUGGAAACU